rnacentral:rRNA from 1 species
UAAACGACUCUCGGCAACGGAUAUCUCGGCUCACGCAUCGAUGAAGAACGUAGCAAAAUGCGAUACUUGGUGUGAAUUGCAGAAUCCCGUGAACCAUCGAGUUUUUGAACGCAAGUUGCGCGCGAAGCCAUUCGGCUGAGGGCACGUCUGCCUGGGCGUCACG